CCAAAACUUCGAAACAGAUAAGUUGAAUUUCGCACCAGUGUAUAUCCUCCAAAUUGCAGAAGGGUAAGAAUCUACAACAAUAAUAUCAAAGCACUAAACAUAAACUGGGAGAAAUAUUGCAUUACCUUUUCCAUUAAAUAUUUAAUUAUAUGAUGAUAUGAUAUAAUAUAUAAUCCAUCAAUUAUAUAAUAGAUUUUAGCCUUUUAUGCACAUCCAAAGUAAAUAAAUCUCAACUUUGUAUCAAUUUAAUAACAGAGAAGAGUUUAGAACAGUAAAAUACAUAUUGGAAAAAUAACUAAUGUAUUUUGCCAUUUUGCCUUCUAAUUAUACCAUACAAGUGAGAAGUGAGAUGUAGGUUUUGUGAAAUUGAUGAGGUUAGAGUUUAGUUUGUAAUAAAACAGAAAAUGUAUAAUGAUUGAACUGAUAUACCUGAUCCAGGUGUGGUAUGAAUGUCGUUUAGCAAAGAAAAGAAUAUGGCACCGAAUUUUGGUCCUGAAACAAUGACGUAGUAAAAGAUUAAAGAAGGUUAGGAGAAAUAUCUAAAACAUUAAUAAGACAAUCUGAAUCCAGUGGAAAGAAAGGGAGAUUAAGGCAAUGCUGGUUGGGAUAUGGUGGCUUCACAUGUGGCAGGUUGUGGAUGUUACAGUGAUUGUGCACAUGGUGGGUCACACCAUGCUUUGUGACCAUCUACUGUUUCUUAGUCAUACACCUAAUAUAAUGAAGCUAACAAGUGGGGUCAAACAAUCACAUUAAAAAGGAGCGAGACAGAAAAUGAAAUUACAUUAAAAGGGAAAUAAAAGAGAAAUUGAUUCUAUAACAAACUCUAAGAUUAUCUACUAGAAUUAGUUUCCCUAUUUCCUUGUUAACACCUAGAACAUGGCAGCCUAGUCAUGUUACAGCAGAUUUUUGGGUAGGUUAAUCCUAGUAUAAUAUCAUAUUUGUAACUAAACCACUGGAUUUCACUCAUUCCUUAAGCUUUAUUAUAAAAAUAGUAUACAUUACACUAGACAUUAUCUGAUAGCUAAAUUGAAUAACUUAAAAUAUUUUAGAGUUGGACACUUCUUCCAAUUAAACCAUUCUGCAUACUCAACAAAACCAGAACAUCCAAAACCAGUACUCACAAUUUACCAGUGCUCAUGCUCAUGCUCAAAUUUACAACAUUUAACACAUUAUGGAAAAUAUGAACCCUGGACUCCAGACAACACGCAGCAGUUAAGAGAUCUAUCUGAAACCCAAAAAAUAACCAAAUUUCAUCCAAAAUCCAUAGCCCAACAUGCUUGAUGUUAAAUGAAGAAGUGCUGAAAAGCAAGUGGCAGAAAUCUCAAGCCUUAGAAACCACUAGUGGAUGAUGCAGUUUCGGAUCUGGGUCCAGAAGUGCCUAAUCAACAGCUAAAACCAAACAGAUUAUAAAGCUAAUAACCAAACAGCGUUAGGGAUUAUGCUUCAACUACUGAUUCAAAUAAGCAACUCAGAAAAUCAAUGCCAACUGAAGAAAUCGACAAUGGAAACAGAGAAAGGAUAAUGAAAAAAAGAGCAAAAUCGAUGGUGAUGACGGUGGUGUUGCGUUCGCCGGAAAGAAUAAUGGUGGAGCGUAUAGGGGCGUGAGAGAGAGAAUAUGUACUGAGAAGAGGAAGAAAAAACAAAUUACCGUGGUGAAGCAGCAGAAGCAGGUCCGUGGUGGAGCAGCAGAAGCAUAUCCGAUGGAGGAGGAGAAACUGUCCGUCGUGGAUGAGAAACAGGUCCGGUGGAGGAGAAGCUCAAUGGUGAGGAAGAGAAGUAUCGUGGAAGAUGGAAGACGAGAAU
rnacentral:lncRNA from 1 species